GGAUGAACGCUAGCGGCAUGUCUAAGGCAUGCAAGUCGAACGGACUGCCUUUCUUCGGAAAGAACAGUUAGUGGCAAACGGGAGAGUAACACAUUGGUAACCUACCUUAUGCUCGUGAAUAAUCCGACGAAAGACGGACUAAUACACGAUAUGGAUGGGGGGUCUUCGGACAUUCCCAUUGAAAGAUUUAUCGGCAUAAGAGGGGCCUAUGGCCUAUCAGCUUGUUGGUGAGGUAAAAGCUCACCAAGGCAACGACGGGUAUCGGGCGUGAGAGCGUGACCCGACUCACUGGGACUGAGACACGGCCCAGACACCUACGGGUGGCUGCAGUCAAGAAUCUUCCGCAAUGCACGAAAGUGUGACGGAGCAAUGCCGCGUGCAGGAUGAAGGCCCUCGGGUCGUAAACUGCUUUUAUGAGGGACGAACAAAUGACGGUACCUCAAGAAUAAGGGGCUGCUAAUCACGUGCCAGCAGCAGCGGGUAAUACGUGAGCCCCGAGCGUUAUCCGGAUUUAUUGGGGCGUAAAGCGUCCGCAGGGUGGUUUUUAUUAGUCGUGUGGUCAAAUCUUUCGGGCUCAACCCCGGAGGCUGCGGCGCGAAACUGUAAGACUAGAGGCUGGGAGAGGUAGACGGAAUUGCUGGUGUAGCGGUAAAAUGCGUUAAUAUCAGCAAGAACACCAAAGGCGAAGGCAGUCUACUGGAACAGACCUGGCACUCAGGGACGAAAGCGUGGGUAGCGAAAGGGAUUAGAUACCCCUGUAGUCCACGCCGUAAACGAUGGAUGCUAGGUAUUGGGAGUUUCGACCCUCUCAGUGCCGUUGAACCAAGCUAACGCAUUAAGCAUCCCGCCUGGGGAGUACGAGCGCAAGCUUAAAACUCAAAGGAAUAGACGGGGACCCGCACAAGCGGUGGAGCGUGCGGUUUAAUUCGAUGAUAAGCGAGGAACCUUACCUGGGCUUAAAUCACAGCUGCAAAUCUCCAGAAACGGAGACUCCUUCGAGGGUGCUGUGAAGGUGCUGCAUGGUUGUCGUCAGCUCGUGGCGUGAGCUGUUCCCUUAAGUGGGGUAACGAGCGCAACCCUCGUCCUGUGUUAUAUGUGUCACAGGAGACUGCCCGGGCAACCGGGAGGAAGGUGAGGACGACGUCAAAUCAGCAUGGCCCUUACGUCCAGGGCAACACGCGCGCUACAAUGGUCAGUACAAUGGGUUGCCAAAUCGCAAGAUGGAGCUAAUCCCUUAAAACUGAUCUCAGUUCGGAUUGAGGUCUGCAACUCGACCUCAUGAAGUUGGAAUCGCUAGUAACGGCCAAUCAGCUACGUGGCCGUGAAUACGUUCUCGGGUCUUGUACUCACCGCCC
rnacentral:rRNA from 1 species